rnacentral:rRNA from 1 species
UACGGGGGGGGCAAGCGUUGUUCGGAUUCAUUGGGCGUAAAGGGUGUGUAGGUGGCGCGCUAAGUCGGGUGUGAAAUUUCGGAGCUUAACUCCGAAACUGCAUUCGAUACUGGCGUGCUUGAGGACUGGAGAGGAGACUGGAAUUUACGGUGUAGCAGUGAAAUGCGUAGAUAUCGUAAGGAAGACCAGUGGCGAAGGCGGGUCUCUGGACAGUUCCUGACACUGAGACACGAAGGCCAGGGGAGCAAACGGG